UACAGAGGUCUCAAGCGUUGUUCGGAUUCAUUGGGCGUAAAGGGUGCGUAGGUGGCGCUGUAAGUCGGGUGUGAAAUUUCGGAGCUUAACUCCGAAACUGCAUUCGAUACUGCGGUGCUUGAGGACUGGAGAGGAGACUGGAAUUCAUGGUGUAGCAGUGAAAUGCGUAGAUAUCAAGUGGAACACCAGUGGCGAAGGCGAGUCUCUGGACAUUUCCUGACGCUGAGGCACGAAAGCCAGGGGAGCAAACGGG
rnacentral:rRNA from 1 species